GACGAACGCUGGCGGCGUGCUUAACACAUGCAAGUCGAACGGAAAGGCCCUGCUUUUGUGGGGUGCUCGAGUGGCGAACGGGUGAGUAACACGUGAGUAACCUGCCCUUGACUUUGGGAUAACUUCAGGAAACUGGGGCUAAUACCGGAUAGGAGCUCCUGCUGCAUGGUGGGGGUUGGAAAGUUUCGGCGGUUGGGGAUGGACUCGCGGCUUAUCAGCUUGUUGGUGGGGUAGUGGCUUACCAAGGCUUUGACGGGUAGCCGGCCUGAGAGGGUGACCGGCGACAUGGGGACUGAGAUACGGCGCAGACGGCAACGGGAGGCAGCAGUGGGGAAUAUUGCAGAAUGGGCGGAAGCCUGAGGCAGCAACGCCGGGUGCGGGAUGACGGCAUUCGGGUUGUAAACCGAUUUCGCCUGAGACGAAGAGAGAGUGACGGUAAUGGGUAAAGAAGCACCGGCUAACUACGUG
rnacentral:rRNA from 1 species